AAUUAAAGAGGGCGUGGCCUAGGGCUAAAGAUGGCCUCCUUGUGCUGUAGAUGCUACAGUUUUAUAAGAAGCGGGAAGCUGCCAAAUACUUACUUUGUAAAUAAGAGAUUAAUAUCAGCUUUAAUCAGGAGCAAAAAACCUCAGAAUAAUAAUUAUUUAACAAGGCUUGCUAGCACAGGAGGCUCUACAGGAAAUAAUAAUAAUAA